rnacentral:rRNA from 1 species
CUGCUCAAUGAUUAUUAUUAAAUAGCUGCAGUAUAAAUAACUGUACAAAGGUAGCAUAAUAAAUAGAUUCUUAAUUAGAAUCUCGAAUGAAAGAUUUAAUGAAAUAAAAUCUGUUUCAAUAAAAUUAAUAAUUAAAAUUUAUUCUAAGUUAAAAUUCUUAGAUUUUUUUAAAAGACGAGAAGACCCUAUAGAAUUUAAUAUAUAAUUAAAAUAAAUUAUAUUAAUUUUAAUAUAAAAUUAAUUUAUAUAUUUAAUUGGGGAAAUUUUUAAAUUAAAUAAAUUUUAAAAUCAAAUAUAACAUUAAUAAAUGAAAUAAAUAGAUCUUUUAUUAAAAAUUAAUAAAAUAAAUUACCUUAGGGAUAACAGCAUAAUUUUUUUUCUAAGAUCAAAUUUAUAAAAAAGUUUAUGACCUCGAUGUUGAAUUAAGAUUAAAUUAAAAUGAAAAAUUUUUAAAAUUUAAGUCUGUUCGACU